ACGAUGUGCCACUCGGGGCUCUUUAGGAUCUACAUCUUUGCUUCACUGACCUCUUCACCCCAGGAGACCCAGAGCAUUUUGUGGGUGGGCGGUUGGAGGAACUCCUUCCCUGUUCCUUUAAUCAUCCUGAUUUACUCUUCUUAUUUCUUAUUCCUAUGAUGACAUUCCUUCCUUUUGAGAGCUUGAAGAAGUUGUCACCCACCAACAGGGAGCCCAUUGACCAGGACGUGGUGUCAUCAGAUUUCUGAGGUAAGGCCAGAGCCCUGGGCACCAUGGAGGGGGUGUGUGUGAGAGGGACUGAGAGACUGGGCUUCUGACGCUGAUUUCCGUGCCAGUGCCUCUUGUCUCUGGUGGAAGGUGGCCCCUAGGGACCAUCAGAGGAAGCAAAGCUGAUUAUUAGACCAUCUCAUUGUUAAGCACGGAUGAGACGAAAAGAGUCAAUAUUGUGAGGAGGUCGAUUCUCUCCAAAUUGGUCUACAAAUUCAAAGCAAUCCCAAUCAAAACCCAAGCAGGGUUUGUUGCCUUUAUUAUUAUUAUUUUUUAAGAAAACUAACACAGCGACUCUAAAAUGUAUUAGCGUUUGUUGAAGGCCACAAACCAUCACAGAAAAUUUAAAGAAGAACAAAUUUGAAUUACCAGAUAUCAAAAACGUCAUAGAAAUUGCCAGAACACAGCAUAGAAUUCAUACGGUCAUAGACAAACCAAUGGGACAGAAGAGACUCUUAAAGCAGUUCACAGGUAUCCGUGAUUUUUUUUUUUUUUUUUUUGGUACUGGGAUUGAACUCAGGGGCGAUCAACCACUGAGUCACAUCCCCAGCCCUAUUUUGUAUUUUAUUUAGAGACAGAGUCUUACUGAGUUGCUUAGUGCCUUGCUUUUCUGAGGCUGGCUUUGAACUUGCAAUCUUCUUCCUCAGCCUCACAACUUGCUGGUGUUAUAGGCAUGCACCACCGAGCCCGGCGGAAUCCUUGAUUUUUGACAAGACUCACACUGUGGAAGAGUGGAGAAAGGAUGGUCUUUUUAAUAAGUGAUACUGGAUAAAUUAUGUCCACAUGGGGAAGAAAUGAAAUGCGAUCCAUCUACAUGUCAUAGACCAAAAAUAAAUAAAUAAACAAUCCAUUCUAGGUAGACUGAAGUGUUAAAAAAAAUGUAGAAGAAAUCGUUGAUUUGAAUUGAUCUUCUGCACUAAGCUGGAACCAACAGAAACCAAACUGAACCAAACCAAAAUGGAGUUACUUGUGCUUAAGUUGCAUGUCACCAAACAAACUCAAGUUGUUUUUCUGAUCUUUUAAGAAACGGUGUGGGGAGGGGUGUGUAUGGGGGUCACGGAAUCUUAAACAGGCCAGUUUUAGCAGUCACAACAUGGAAUCCCCUCUGCUCUAACCUUUACAUGGAAUGCUCUGAAUCAACCAGUGCUAACCCUCCAGUUUCUGUUCCUGUUCCUGCUUUCUUGAGCUCUUCACAGCCCAUAAAGCCAACUUCUCCUGCUUAGCUCAGUGCCACAUUUUAAGAGGGGAUGCUG
rnacentral:lncRNA from 1 species